UCGAACGGCAGCACAGCCGGGGCAACCCGGUGGGUGGCGAGUGGCGGACGGGUGAGGAAUACAUGGGAAUCUGCCCUGUCGUGGGGGAUAACGUAGGGAAACUUACGCUAAUACCGCAUACGACCGGAAGGUGAAAGCGGCGGACCGCAAGGCGUCGCGCGACUGGAUGAGCCCAUGUCGGAUUAGCUAGUUGGCGGGGUAAAGGCCCACCAAGGCGACGAUCCGUAGCUGGUCUGAGAGGAUGAUCAGCCACACUGGAACUGAGACACGGUCCAGACCCCUACGGGAGGCAGCAGUGGGGAAUAUUGGACAAUGGGCGCAAGCCUGAUCCAGCCAUGCCGCGUGAGUGAAGAAGGCCUUCGGGUUGUAAAGCUCUUUUGUCCGGAAAGAAAAGCCUUCGGUUAAUACCCGGGGGUGAUGACGGUACCGGAAGAAUAAGCACCGGCUAACUUCGUGCCAGCAGCCGCGGUAAUACGAAGGGCGCAAGCGUUA
rnacentral:rRNA from 1 species